GCCACAGCACACAUUACCCUGCAGACCAAGACCGGUUACUCACUGAAUCUAAGCAGGGUUGAGCCUAGUCAUUACCUGGAUGUGAGACCACAUGGGAAAACUAGGUUGCUGUUGGA
ensembl:rRNA 5S_rRNA 5S ribosomal RNA